AUAUUUACAUGGCCAGGGAGACACCAUGACCUCGAUCCCAGGGCAGGGCGUGGCUCACCCGCUGCCCUCCAGAUGUACUGAUCCCUGAAUUCUCCCCAAAUGUGGGAAACUCAACUGCAUGAUUUGUGGUAGUGGGGCACUGCAUUUGUGUUCUCCCCUG